UACGUAGGCAGCGAGCGUUGUUCGGAGUUACUGGGCGUAAAGCGUGCGUAGGCGGUGUCUUAAGUUUGUUGUGAAAUCUCCCGGCUUAACCGGGAGGGUGCGGCGAAUACUGAGAUGCUGGAGUGCGGGAGAGGUAAGCGGAAUUCCUGGUGUAGCGGUGAAAUGCGUAGAUAUCAGGAGGAACACCUGCGGUGUAGACGGCUUACUGGACCGUAACUGACGCUAAGGCACGAAAGCGUGGGUAGCAAACAGG
rnacentral:rRNA from 1 species